CAAACAAGAAUGCGUUUCGUACUUAGCCUAAUUAAUUUGGCGGUACAAACCGCCCAAUUAGGCAGCGCCACCUGCCCGUCCGCCACAGACCUCAGCUAAUCACUGACCAACUGAGACCAACUGAAACGAAGCCGAUAUGGAACGUAAACUGUGAUUCUGAAAAAAGUAUAAAGGCCUGCAGCAGGCGACCAAUGCAGGAACCCAGAACGAGAAAACAUCUUCAUCAGUAUUCGGCUGUAGUCUAUGGAGUUUGAGUCGCUCCCUCUUAGCCCUACACCAGCGCCACCUCUUCCACCAACACCGGGUUGGAGCCGCUGUCUGCGCUGCCUCGUGAGAGGAACGGUCCUCUGGUGGACG